GACUAAAGUGUGAAUUUCAAUAAAACUUUAGGGAAAUUGUGAAUUUAUAAUAAUUUGGGGGUAGGGUUUAACACAGUCGGUCUCGAAGCAGUGCUGUUUAUUCAAACUAAAUAUGCUCCUCGGUUGGCUGAUUCUACGACAACACUAAUAUGUUGGCGGAGAAAAAGAAAAUAAAAAUAUCAAGAUGUUUAAGAGGUUUGUGUAGCGCAAUUAUGUGUUGAAUUGAAGUGACCUCGAAUAGUUACAUGCAGCUUUGUAUUUAUAGGACUACUGAAUUCUGAUGCGUCGCAUUACAAAAGAAUCUAACUUGUGGAAUAAUACCCUGAUGCUAGCUGUAUCAUGCAUUGACGGUUCCAGGUCUGUUGUCCCUUAAAUUGUGUCUCAUUGCUAAUAUGUUGACAGUGAAAUCUCGUUCCUGGAUUUCACUGUAAUAAUCUAUGUAUUUGUAUUAUUGAGAUUUUAUAUUAUUUCUUGAGAAUUUAUUUUAAUUUGUUUGAAUUUAGAUUUUAAUUAAACCAGUUACAAAGUUUGACAUUUGGAAAUUAAUUAUUUAAAAUCCGUAGACCUUUCAAGGUCACAAUUUAUAUUUUCGAAUAAAUCUUGAAACCACGAAC
rnacentral:lncRNA from 1 species